rnacentral:rRNA from 1 species
UAUGUGAUCGUCUCUCGCAUAUCAAUAAGCGGAGGAAAAGAAACUAACAAGGAUUCCCCUAGUAACGGCGAGUGAAGCGGGAAGAGCUCAAAUUUGAAAUCUUAAAGGGUUUCCCUUUACGAAUUGUAGUUUAAAGAAGUGUUUUCUGUUGAGGUUUUGGUAAAAGUUCUUUGGAAUAGGACAUCAUAGAGGGUGAGAAUCCCGUAUUUGACCUUUACUUUCAACUUUGUGAUACACUUUCAAAGAGUCGGAUUGUUUGGGAAUGCAGUCCAAAAUGGGUGGUAAAUUUCAUCUAAAGCUAAAUAUUGGCGAGAGACCGAUAGCGAACAAGUACCGUGAGGGAAAGAUGAAAAGAACUUUGAAAAGAGAGUUAAACAGUACGUGAAAUUGUCAAAAGGGAAGCGUUUGACACCAGUGUUGUUUUUCUGAAAAUCAAUUAAAGAACUGUUUAUGCUAAGUUGUUUAGACUUUAUCAGCCAACUGUUUAGUUUUGAGCUUUUCUUUAAUGCACUUUUCAGUUAACAAGUCAACAUCAAUUUCUUUUGCUGUAAAAAAGCUUGAGGAAGGUGGCUUGAGAUUCGUCUUAAGUGUUUAUAGCCUCUUGCCUAUGCAGUCGGAGAGAUUGAGGUCUGCAGCGUAGAUCCUUCGGGGCUAAAUGCAUUUGUGCUAAGUUAUAGCAUUUUAUAGACAACUUGUUGACUAUGAUUUGUCUUGUAGCUUACUCGCUUAUGUUAUUUUACCUACGCUUAGGAUGUUGACUGAUAUGUAGUCGUA